AAAGACUUAGUCCUAACCUUACAGUUGGCUCCUGCUAGACGUAUACAUGCAAGUAUCUGCGACCCAGUGUAAAUGCCCUGAGUCUCUUGCCAAGACCAAAGGAGCAGGCAUCAGGCGCACACUACCCAAACCGUAGCCCAAGACGCCUUGCUCAGCCACACCCCCACGGGCACUCAGCAGUAACUAACAUUAAGCAAUGAGCGCAAGCUCGACUUAGUCACAGCAACCUCAGGGUUGGUAAAUCUUGUGCCAGCCACCGCGGUUACACAAGAAACCCAAGCCAACAGUCACACGGCGUAAAGAGUGGAUUAAAACCUAUCAUAAUAACUAGGAAAACCGAAACACAACUAAGCUGUCAUAAGCCCAAGAUACCCCUAAGACCAACCUAAAAACGAUCCUAGUAAGCCUGAUGGACCAAACCCCACGAAAGCUAGGGCUCAAACUGGGAUUAGAUACCCCACUAUGCCUAGCCCUAAAUCCCGAUGUACCCAAUACUAAAGCACAUCCGCCCGAGAAUUACGAGCACAAACGCUUGAAACUCUAAGGACUUGGCGGUGCCCCAAACCCACCUAGAGGAGCCUGUUCUGUAAACGACACCCCACGCUACACCCUACCACUCCUCGCCAAAAACAGCCUACAUACCGCCGUCGCCAGCUCACCCCAAUUGAGGGACUCACAGUGAGCACAAUAACCACCCCGUUAGCACGACAGGUCAAGGUAUAGCCCACGGAGUGGAAGCAAUGGGCUACAUUUUCUAAAAUAGAACACUUUUAACGGAAGGAGACAUGAAAUCGUCUCCGGAAGGCGGAUUUAGCAGUAAAGCAGGAUAACAUAAGCCUACUUUAAGCCGGCUCUGAGGCACGUACAUACCGCCCGUCACCCUCCUCACAAGCUACCAACCCCAGAUAACUAAUCCCCCACCAUAGCCAAAGAUGAGGUAAGUCGUAACAAGGUAAGUGUACCGGAAGGUGUACUUAGCAUAC
rnacentral:ncRNA from 1 species